rnacentral:rRNA from 1 species
CGCUUAACACUUUGUGAUUCAUGACUGGGGUGAAGUCGUAACAAGGUAACCGUAGGGGAACCUGCGGUUGGAUCACCUCCUUACCUUAAAGAAGC